rnacentral:rRNA from 1 species
CCUACGGGACGCAGCAGUGGGGAAUAUUGCACAAUGGGGGGAACCCUGAUGCAGCGACGCCGCGUGAGUGAAGAAGUAUUUCGGUAUGUAAAGCUCUAUCAGCAGGGAAGAAAAUGACGGUACCUGACUAAGAAGCCCCGGCUAACUACGUGCCAGCAGCCGCGGUAAUACGUAGGGGGCAAGCGUUGUUCGGAAUAACUGGGCGUAAAGGAUGCGUAGGCGGGUAAACAAGGUAUAUGGUAAAUAUAUAGGCUUAACCUGUAGAAAGCAUAUAAAACUGUUUAACUAGAGUGCAGGAGAGGUAA